GUGCUCGCUUCGUCAGCACAUACACUAAAAUUGGAACGAUGCAGAGAUUAGCAUGGCCCCUGCGCAAGGAUGACACGCAAAUCUGUGAAGCCUUCUAUGUUUAA